rnacentral:rRNA from 1 species
GAUGAACGCUGGCGGCGUGCCUAAUACAUGCAAGUCGAGCGAACAGACGAGGAGCUUGCUCCUCUGACGUUAGCGGCGGACGGGUGAGUAACACGUGGAUAACCUACCUAUAAGACUGGGAUAACUUCGGGAAACCGGAGCUAAUACCGGAUAACAUGUUGAACCGCAUGGUUCAACAGUGAAAGACGGUCUUGCUGUCACUUAUAGAUGGAUCCGCGCCGCAUUAGCUAGUUGGUAAGGUAACGGCUUACCAAGGCAACGAUGCGUAGCCGACCUGGGAGGGGGAUCGGCCACACUGAAACUGAGACACGGUCCAGACUCCUACGGGAGGCAGCAGUAGGGAUUCUGCCGCAAUGGGCGAAAGCCUGACGGAGCAACGCCGCGUGAGUGAAGAAGGUCUUCGGAUCGUAAAACUCUGUUAUUAGGGAAGAACAAAUGUGUAAGUAACUAUGCACGUCUUGACGGUACCUAAUCAGAAAGCCACGGCUAACUCCGU